AACAAGGUAAAUAUCAGGUUGUUUCCUGUAUUCGAUCGAAACAUCUGUAUAUACCUUUGUUC
rnacentral:pre_miRNA from 1 species